GAUGGCUCUUACUUUUACUUUCAUUUUACUUUUAUCAUUGGAUUUACAUUAAAACUUGUGCUAUGGGCAUAAUAUUUCUAAAUUCAAUCCAAACUUGCAUUUACUUGUGACGAUUAAGACACAAGCAGAGUGAGUGGCCCUUUGGUACUUGUGAGUGUGACCAAGAUUGUUUCUUCACGCUCCACUGCAAGAUUUCCAUGUUUGUCCCAGUUCAUUUCCAUCCAAUUUGGUCUGAAGUCUUUUUCCUUGUUUGAAAAGCGUGUACAGUUCUGUACACUCUUUGUUCAUUUCCCUUUAUAAGCAAACCAAUCUUCUUUAUUAAGUUUACUUUCUCUUCAUUUCCUUUUGUCCCUACACCCUUCUACAAGAUCCCAUUCGCGUUGCUUCAAGUGCUAACUCUUUUCUUUCUCACAAACGGGUUUCUCAUUUUUUGUUGGGUUCAGAUUCUGUACUUGUAACUGAAUUUGGUGAUAGCUUCAAAUCCAAUAAUCAAGGUUUAGUAUGGCAGGAAAAAGCAUAAAGUGUUCUGUGAUAUCUAGAAGUAAAAGUGAUGUAACAGCAAUGAAGGACAUGCUUUGUGUGCAGCAGCAACUUCUGGAAAAGCUAUAUGCUGAAUUGGAUGAGGAAAGAGAAGCUUCAGCCACUGCAACAAGUGAAGCACUGGACAUGAUACUGCGUUUGCAGGGAGAGAUAGCCAUGGUGAAGAUGGAGGCAAGUCACUACAAGAGAGUGGCAGAGGAGAAGAUAGGCCAUGCUGAGGUCUCUCUUGAGGCUUUUGAGGAAAUAAUGUAUCAGAAGGAAGUGCAAAUUGCGUCGCUCGAGUUUCAAGUGCAUGCUUAUAGACACAAACUUAUGAGCUUGGGGUGUGAACUCGAAGAGGAUCUUUUGUUGUUGAAUAGGAGUGAUCAAAGAAAUGGAGAAAAUGGGGGUCAGAGUAGCACUGUUAGAAGGUUACAAUCAAUGCCCGCAAUUCAGUUUCUGAGUUCUUUAAGAGCUGCUGCAAAGAGGGGAAGAUCACCUAGUCCAGUUCUUGAUGUGAUUCCUAAGAUAAUGGAGGAGAGUACUACUGACAAAGAAGUUGCUCAACCUGGCAGUGGAACUCUUGAUUCAUAUUUGAACCAGAUAAAGGAGUUGAAUGAACAAGUGAGGGUGAUUUCAGAUUGUGCUGAAGGAGAAAAGAGUGCAAAUUUGAGAAGUAGAAGAGGGAGGUCUUGUUCAAUUUUACCGCAUGCUAGUGCUAAGAUGGCAUGUGAUCAAACACACAGAUUGAUCUCUACUAACUUAGAUGAAGUGAGUCAAGGUGAAAGUACACACAAUAGAGGAGUAGCUAAUGAUUCUCCUCGCAUCCUUAAUGUUCAUGAUGUGUAUGAAGUUCCACAAACUAGUGAAAAUCAUGAAGUCAGUGAACAUGGGGGAAAAAGGUUUGAGAAAUGGAGUUCUGAUGCAGAGAAUAGAUUAACAAAACCGGAUUCUGUGUCUGAGGGAAUGGUUGAAUCUCCUCUUAAACAUGAUGCAGAAAAGAAAAAGGGUAUGUUUAAAGUACAUGGUGAAAUCAAAACUCCUUGUCUUAGAGAUAUGAUGAUGACUAUCAUUGGCCAGAAAGAGGGGAUGGGUGUGGAUUGCAAUUCUCAAGCUGAGUUUCAAAAGCUGAAUCAGAGAAUUGAGAGGCUUGAGAGGGAGAGAAUUAGUGCAACGCAAGAGAUUACCCAUGAAGGGAAUGGUGAAGAGCAGUUGAGGCUGUUAAAGGACAUACAAAGUCAACUCCAAAUGAUACAAUCGGAGAUGAGAAGCUUGGAAACCAAAAAAACCACUCCUAAGAAUGAUGUGUAUUUGGCUCCUCUCCAAGAGGCAAUGUUGCACUUUUGGCUUUGAUGAAGUACCUGCAGAAUGACCAUCUUGGACGACCGAUCAACUCACUGCAUUACAUGAUGUACAAUUGGACAUACGAAUCUGAAUUGUGGUCAUCAUUGGCACUGUAUACACACGAACUACGUAAGAGCACAGUUGAAAAGGGGAACUGGGGAGAAAAGAGAAAAUUCGUGAAUGCACAGGCUGAAAGUAGCUCAACAUGCAAAAGGAAGGAGAAAAGGACAAGAAAACGAAAUCUAACUUAGCAGAAAGUGAAUGUUGUUGUUUUCUUCUUUAAAUUUCUUGUAGAAAUCACGUGGCAUAAUUUGUAUGACAUGUUUAAGUAUACCAAAAACAUACGGGAAUCAUUUUUUUUUUUUGGUGUGUGUAUGAAUACAUGGGAAUCUAAUGAGAAAUCUUUUUUCGCAA